CAAUAGCGUAUAUUUAAGUUGUUGCAGUUAAAAAGCUCGUAGUUGGAUUUCGGAUGGGAUUUGCCGGUCCGUCGUUACGAUGUGCACUGGCCAGUCCUAUCUUGUUGUCGGGGACUAGCUCCUUGGAUUCACUUCCUGGGACUAGGAGCUGACGAGGUUACUUUGAGUAAAUUAGAGUGUUCAAAGCAAGCCUACGCUCUGAAUACAUUAGCAUGGAAUAACACGAUAGGACUCUGGCUUAUCUUGUUGGUCUGUGAGACCAGAGUAAUGAUUAAGAGGGACAGUCGGGGACAUUCGUAUUUCAUUGUCAGAGGUGGAAUUCUUGGAUUUAUGAAAGACGAACUUCUGCGAAAGCAUUUGUCAAGGAUGUUUUCAUUAA
rnacentral:rRNA from 1 species